rnacentral:rRNA from 1 species
AGAGUUUGAUCCUGGCUCAGAACGAACGCUGGCGGCAGGCCUAACACAUGCAAGUCGAGCGCCCGCAAGGGAGCGGCAGACGGGUGAGUAACGCGUGGGAACGUGCCCUUUGGUUCGGAAUAUUCCCGGGAAACUGGGAGCAAAACCGGAUAAGCCCUUCGGGGGAAAGUUUACGCCAAAGGAUCGGCCCGCGUUAGAUUAGGUAGUUGGUGGGGUAACGGCCUACCAAGCCUACGAUCUAUAGCUGAUCUGAGAGGAUGAUCAGCCACACUGGGACUGAGACACGGCCCAGACUCCUACGGGAGGCAGCAGUGGGGAACCUUGGACAAUGGGCGCAAGCCUGAUCCAGCCGUGCCGCGUGGAUGACUGAAGGCCCUAGGGUUGUAAAGUCCUUUCGACGGGGACGAUAAUGACGGUACCCGUAGAAGAAGCCCCGGCUAACUUCGUGCCAGCAGCCGCGGUAAUACGAAGGGGGCUAGCGUUGUUCGGAUUUACUGGGCGUAAAGGGCGCGUAGGCGGAUUUUUAAGUCGGGGGUGAAAUCCCGGAGCUCAACUCCGGAACUGCCUUCGAUACUGGAAGUCUGGAGCACGGUAGAGGUGAGUGGAAUUCCGAGUGUAGCGGUGAAAUGCGUAGA